rnacentral:lncRNA from 1 species
CCGGGCUACUCGGGCCACGCAGCUGGAACCUGGAAAUUAGGAUUGGAAUCCUGAACUCCUAAAUCCAAACUACAGACUGGAAGUUACCAAAAAAUGUCACAGUGGUUCCUUGAUCAGGAGGCGAAGGAGGCGGUCUAGAGGGAAGAGCACUUUGGUCAAAGGAUCAGGUGCAUAAAUGCGGAGGAAUGAGGAUGCCCGGCUUGCUGGAGGAUCAAGGGAAGUCCAGAUGGCCUGCAGGAGCCAAGAAGUCUGGAGCAGCCAAAAAAACACAAAAGAAGUGCAACAAAAGAAGCUCCUGCCUUGACUGAUUGACCAGCCUUACGACGUUCCACCAUUAUGAAUUGUUCCUGUCCUGCCCCAACUGAUCAAUCGACCUUGUGACAUUCUUCUUCUGGACAAUGAAUCUUAUGAUCUCCCCACCAUGGACCCUGUGACCCCCUCCUCUGCUGACAAUAGAUAACCACCUCUAACUGUAACAUUCCACUGCCUACCUCAGUCCUAUAAAGCUGCCCCUCUCCUAUCUACCUUCGCUGACUCUCUUUUCGUACUCAGCCCACUUGCACCCAAGUGAAUAAACA